CUACGGGCCGCACCAGUGGGGAAUAUUGCGCAGUGGGCGAAAGCCUGACGCAGCAACGCCGUGUGAGGGAUGAAGGCUUUCGGGUCGUAAACCUCUGUCGGAAGGGAAGAACGGGCAUUGGUCUAAUAGGCCUUUGUUUUGACGGUACCUUUAGAGGAAGCACCGGCUAACUCCGUGCCAGCAGCCGCGGUAAUACGGAGGGUGCAAGCGUUAUUCGGAAUUACUGGGCGUAAAGCGCACGUAGGCGGCCUUGUAAGUCAGGGGUGAAAUCCCACGGCUCAACCGUGGAACUGCCUUUGAAACUGCAGGGCUUGAGUCCUGGAGAGGGUGGCGGAAUUCCUGGUGUAGGAGUGAAAUCCGUAGAUAUCAGGAGGAACACCGGUGGCGAAGGCGGCCACCUGGACAGGUAUUGACGCUGAGGUGCGAAAGUGUGGGGAGCAAACAGGAUUAGAUACCCGGGUAGUC
rnacentral:rRNA from 1 species